GGGUCAGUAGGUUGGUCGUGCCACCGGUACGUACUGGUCUCAUUGAUUCCUCCUUCCUGAAGAACCGUAAUGCCAUUAAUUUGGUGUUGCGGGGAAACAGGACUGUUACUUUGAAAAAAUUAGAGUGUUUAAAGCAAGCUAACGCUUAAAUACAUUAGCAUGGAAUAAUGAAAUAGGACGAUCGAUCCUAUUUUGUUGGUUUCUAGGAUUGACGUA
rnacentral:rRNA from 1 species